ensembl:lncRNA
GCUAGUGACAUAAAAGGAUGGCCUUCCCCUCCUUCACAAACCUCUGAUGUGAUGGCCUAUUUCUACUCUAUAUGGAAUGUGAGAAAUUUCUCUGAAUUACCAUUCUGCAAAACAGCAGGUGUUGAGUUUGAUUAGGUGGUCUUAAGCUCUGUAUAGGUUUUAGUAUAUCAGCUCACCUCUCUUGAAAAUAAUUUAAUAGAACACUAGAUACAAUCCAGGUUGCCUCUUUUAUGUAUAUAUAUUAUAGCAAUUGUUGUACAUUACCAUUCAGUACUCAUAAAAAUGUGAUGUUAGAUGAAAGAUUGUAUAGUACCUUUUUAUACCUUUAAUAGUAUCUUAACUAAUUUUCAUUCUGAUAUGCAUAUGCUGUUUUAACUGACAAAAUACUCCACUGUAAUUGAAGCUCUUUAUAUCAUCUCAGUGGUAUGUAAUUGGUGCCCAAGCACUAUACAAUUCCUCUUCAAUCAGUGGCGUAAGCUUCUGCAAUUUCUCUCAUCUCCAAGUUGUUGCAAGAGUGACCACACAGUGAAUAUGCUGUACUCCAGUUUGUAUGCCUCUCAUAUUACCAACUUCCUUUCACAGUAACUGUUUGUUUCUUUAACUUAAUCACACUCUGUUUUUUGUUGUUGUGUAUUUAUUUUUUUUAAAUAUCUUUUUUAUUCAAAGAAGAGAAGAGAAAGGACGUUAAUGAGAUGUAUCACAAGACUGAGAGAACAACUCAUGCAAGGACUUCUCUGGAAAUAAGAAGCUUAGAUGUUGCACACAGAAUUGAGGUGAGAAAUACAUUUGUGUCAAUAACAUUCAUAGAUUUCUGCAGCAAGAACAUUGACGAUACUUCAGUUCCACCUUCUCUAAAUGAAACAGUUGAGAAAAUCAACGUUGAGCAAUACAGAAAAGAUUUUAUUGGGAUUUGUAGAAAAUUUUCUAAAAUUUCCAGGAUGAAUGUUUGAAUUGCUGUCUUAACAAACGAAAAGAGAAACUGGAUCUAACAUGUCAUUAAAGCUUAUCCUCAUUUGUUGAUUCUGUGUUUUUCACCAUUUCAGCUUUCAGUGUCUUUUUCCUAACCAACGUCCUCUAUGUUUUCACUGAAAGGCCCUGUCCAGUUCUAUUGAUUCUCAUUGCUUCUUUGAUGAAUAAUGCAUACUAACCUAUGAAGAAAAAAAAACCAAACCCCUCAUACUGAAGCUUGUUGUUUUCUUUAUUAGUGGAGAUUGCUACAAUACUCUUCAUAUUAAAAAAUGGGAAUUAGGAGAAUUUGGA